GACCCCUACCUGGCCUCACCAGGGCGGAGACCAGCGCAGCGACCACUGAGGAGGAAGGAAUUUGACAAGCAGCCGCCAAACCGGAAGAGACGGCGCCGAUGUGACGUCACUUCCGCUCGCUCUCUCCAGUUGAGGGUCUGGGCUCCGCAGCUUGGGUCUGAGACCCGUUGGCCUAGAGGGUGUGUGCUACUGCGCUGUGUCUUUGUCUCCCACCUUCCACCCCCUGCAUUUUUUUCUUUUUCUUUUUGAGACAGGGUCCUUGCUAAGUUGCCUGUGGUUGGCUGGAACUGGAAUUCUUGGCCCAGCCUCCCUAUGAGCUGGGAUUUCAAGCCUGCACCACCACCAGUCUGACUCCAUUCUCCAUUCUUAAAUAACAUGACGCUAGACAUUGUGCACUUAUGCUGGAAUGAUUUUGACAUUUCUCUGGUAAGCCCUUUCGCUGUAGUUUUUAGUGGCUGAUCGUCAUGCACUUAUUAAAGUUAUUUUAAACAUUGAUUUAUGAAUUUUUAUCAAGAAUUAUGUGCAUUAUCAAAUGUAUGAUAUGUAUCCUUAUUUUUGUUCAUUUUUCAUUGUUAGCUAUACAGAAUGCUUAAAUUGUUGUCCAAAGGAGUUUGUAUUUUUCAAUAAUUUCUGGAUUUCCUGCCUCACAUUAAAAAGUCUCUAUCCCUGUAGCUGGGCCUACAGGCCAAAUAUAAACAUUUAUAUUGUCCAGCAUCACAGAAUGUUUUGCCAAAUGAUUUGUGAUAGUGAGUCUUAAUUUUUCUCUUUAGAAAGAUGGACACUUACUGUAAUACCACUUGGUAUUGAAAAAAAACUGUCAACUGUGGGAGAUCACCAAGCCACAUUUCCCUGAGAAAUAAGGCCCCUUGCCUCCAUCUUUUCCUGACCUUUACUUCAACCCUAUUCAGUGACAUAUGCAGAGCUGGCUAUACUGAACCAGAUGUUCCCUUAAUUGGCUAAAAGAAUGCAAUUGAAUAUAGGUGAAAAUUGCCAUGCCACCCCACCCCUACCCCCCAUUUCUGGAAUAGAGGGUCAAGAAAGAGCCUGUGAGAUUCCAGGCUAAUAUCUCCUAUUGGGUCCUGUUUUAACAAUGAAGGACCCAAUAGGAGAUAUUCAGCCUUAAUAUGUCAAAGGCAAAGUCUCAGAAUGCACAUUUUAAAAAAUUUAAUAGCCAUUUACUUUUGGGGUUUUUGUUUUUGUUUUUUGGAUUUUUUGGUACCAAGGAUCAAACUCAUGACCUCGUCUUACGAGGUAAGAGCUUGAGCUGCUGAGCUAAAUCCCCAGGUGUUAGGCAUCUGCUUCUGGGAUUAUGUGUAUUUUUGUGUGUUGCUGGCUCAACCGCAAGGUCUCAUGGAUGCUUAGCAAGCAUAUACCACUGAGCUACAUCCCCAGCCCUGAAUGUGCAUUUCUAAUAGAGGGCUAGUGAUAACUAUUGACUCUAGAACAUUCUGGAAACUACUAGAUUAAAAUGACUUUGGGGCUAUUGGCAAGGGAAUGAAAACAUUUUGCAGUGUGAGAUGUGCAUGUACCUUGGGUUCCAAUGCUAUGGUCUGCAUGUUUUGUCCCUGAAAGGUUCAUGUGCUGGAGGCUUAGUCCUACUUUAAGCAAUGGAACUGGGGCUUAGUUCAAAGUAAUUAGAUCAUUGUGGUGCAGCCCUCAGAAGAGACAAGGGACUAAUGAUUGGCUCUUAGAGUUAGUUUCAUCCACCAGUCAUGGUGGCACACACCUACAAUCUCAACAUGUGGGAGGCUCAGGCAGAGGGAUCACCACAAAUUGAAGGCCAACUUGAGCUGCAUAUUGAGUUCAAAACUAGUCUGAAUUGCAUGGAGAGACCCUGUCUCAAUUUAAAAAAUGUUUCAUGUGAGCAAAGGCACUUCACGAGUUUUAUCCCUUCUGCAUAGAGCUAUGUCCCUCUUUCUCUGUCACAUCAAGACCCAGUCAAGGGGAUUUAAGAGGCCAGACAGGGCCAUAUGAUCUUGGAUUUUUACCUUCUAAAACUUAGGCUAAAUAAACCUCUUUAUAGGAAUGGUGAAUGGUGGUUUAUGUCUAUAAUCCCAGCACUAGGAGAGGUUGAGCAGGGUAAGUUACAAGCAUAAACCCAGCCUGCACAAUUUAAAAAGACCUUGAUUCAAAGUAAAAAAUGUAAAAUGCACUGGGAAUGUAGCUCACUUUGAAGGCCUGGGGUUUAAACAACCAGUAUCACCAAAACAAACAAACCAAAAAAACUUUCAGUUAUUUGUAAGAUAUCAAGAUGUCCAACCUCAGGCACUUUAUGUGGCUGUAAAAAAUGGACAAGGAUACUGUUCCAUUUUAGAUCUGAAAUGUCUCCUAAAAGUGUCCUCUGUUUAGAGGUAGGGCUUCUGGGAGGUGAUUAGAUCACAUUUAUACUCAACAAUGAAUAAAUCCAUUUGCAUUUAUUGCGGAAUAUGCCGUUAGGAGGUAAGGCCUGGUUGGAGCUGGAUCACUGGGACAUGACCUGGGUGUGUACUUAUCCCCAUCCUCUUCCUCUCUUGCUCUUUUCUUAUUUGCUUAUGGCUACUAUAAAGUAAUGAAGUGGACAGAUUUCCUCCAUCACACCCUUCCACCUAAAUAUUUUUUCAACUUGGAGUUAGAUGACCAGGGACUAAAACCUCUGAAACCAUGAGCCUAAGUAACCCGGUUCUUCUCCCUUAAGUAAUGGGUGUCAGGUAUUUUGUUCCAUUGGUGGGAAAACUGACCAAUGUAGACACUUUGUCAAAACAGAUGAGAAAACAACUCAACCAAUGUCUUGAUUGCAGCUGCACAGAAUCGCAAACAAAGAACAUUCUUGAGCCAUGACUGGACUGUUUACCCAAAGAAAGUGGAGGAUACAUGUGUGUGGCUUUAACCCACCAACCUUGUCAUAAGUUAUGAGGCAGCAAUAGAUAAUAAGCAAAUAUGUAUUAUCUGCUGAGGUCUGAGUGCCCCAGUCUGAGUGGGGCAGGCUUUCUUUUUUGUCUGGCUUUGUCACUCAAAAUUAUAUUUGUAAAGUUCAACCACAUUGUUGCACAUAUUUUUUUUUUGUCUUUUUGUUUUCUUUUGUGGUACUAGUAAUUGAACCUUCAACCUCAUACAUGCUAGGCAAGCAAUCUACCACUGAGCUAUACAUUCCCAGACCUUUUAAACUUUGUUUUAAGACAGGUCAUACUACGGAGUCUAGAAAUCAAAAUCCUCCUGCCUUAUCCUCCUCCCAAGCAGCUGUAAUUAUAGGCACGGACCACGAUACCUGACUACAAGGAGUAUCACUCACAUCCUUUCACUUUCAGCUGCACCCUUAAAGAUGAAGCAAGUAUCCUGUAUGCCACAUAUAUGUAGAUAUUCUUGUUUCUUAUGCAAUCUGUUGCUCUCUUUUGAUAGAUAACUUUAGUGUAUUCCAAGUAAAAGUAAUUAAAACCUUGAUCAUGUGGAAUUAAUCCAUGGGAUGUAAGGAUGUUUCAACACAUGUAUCAAUGAAUGUGAUGCAACAUAUUUACAAAAUGGAGGGAAAUCAUAUGGCAAAAACUGCAAACAUUCAGCAAUAUUCAGCAGUCUGAUGUUAUUCUAAUAAUGACUUCCAAUAAAUAAAUGAUAUAAAAGGUACCUCAACAUAAUAAAGACCUUACAUGACAAGUCCACACUUUCAUCCCAAAUACAAAGAAGCUCAAAAGAUUUCAUGUGAGAGCAAGAACAAGUAAAAAAUUCCACACUUCCCAUUUCUAUUCAACAUACUUACACAAGUCCUACCCAGAGCAAUUAUACAGGAAAAAGAGACAAAAACUUCCAGAUCAGAAAAGAAGUUACAGUGAUAGUUUGUAGAUGGACUGAUCUUUAAUACAAAACACCAGACUACAAAAAAAGUCUCACUAGAACAAAAACAAAGUCAUACAUCUUGUAGUGCUUGUCAACACACAAAAAUUAGUAGUUCUAUACACUAUGAAUAAACAUCUAAAAAUUUAAGAAAAUAAUUAUAUUUUCAAUAAAUACCAUCAAAAUAAUAAAAUACAUAGGAGCAAAUUUAAUUAGCAGGUUGAAAGGCCCAUAUGCUGGAAACCAUAAAACACUGGUGUAUGAAAAAAGACAUGUGAAGAGACAGCCCAUGUUUGUGGACUAAAAGAACUCUGCUACAAUGUGCACAGUACCCAGAGGAAUCUGUAAUAUUUUUUUUGUGUUUUUCAUUUUUAUCUGUACCAGGGAUCGAACUCACGACCGCACACUUGCAAGGAAGGUGCUUAUGCCGCUGAGCUAAAUCCCCAGCCCCGGAAUCUGUAAUAUUUAAUGUCAGUGCUUUCAAGAUUCCAGUGGCAGGUAGCAUACAUGUAAUCCCAAUAAUCUGGGAAGCUGAGGAGGGAGGAUUGUAUGAGUCCACCCCUAGCAACCUCCUGAGACUCUGUCUCAAAAUUUUAAAAUAAAUAAUUUAAAAAGGCUGGGAUAAUAAAUUAGAAAAAAAUAAAAAGGUUGGGACGUAGCUUAGUGUAAAGGUCCUGGGUUCAAAUCCCAGUAUAAAGAAAAAAACAGAUUCCAGUAGAUUUUUUCCCCUCAGGAUGGUGGAGGUCACGGAGAGAACCCUAAAAUUUAUAUUGCAUCCUCAAAAACUCUGAAAAGUCAAAGGAAUCUUAAGAACAAAACUGGAGACAGAACAUUUCCAUAUUUCAAAUUAUAUUACAUGGUUACAAUAACUGAAAGAGUAUUAUAUAGGCAUCAAAACGGAAUAGCUAGAGAUUUAGUUCAGUGGUACAGACCUGGCUGGCAAGCAUGAGAACCUCAGUUUGAUUCCAAGGACAAAAAAAAAAAACCCACCAGAGAACAAUGAGAAGAAUGGCUCAUAACUGAUGAAUGUAGUCAUAUAAUUCUCAACAAAAGCAACAAUAAUACACAAUAGGGAAAAUCAUACAAAUGAUAGUGCAAAAUCUGGUAGACACAUUCAAGAGAAUUCAACUGGACCACUGCACACACAAAGAUGCACAGUAAAUAAUUAAAGAUUUAAACCUCAGGCUGUGAAACCAAGAAACUCCUAAGCGAAAAAAGAAUAAAAACUACCUGACACUUAUCUUGGCAAUGAUUUCUGGGAGUUCACAUCCAAACUAUAUCCAACGAAAGCAAAAAUAAGUGACAUAUAAGUACCCUUAUUUGAAGCAACGCACAUAACAAUAGCUAAGUGUCUUGGAAAUGGCCUAUAUACCAUCAACAGAUGAUUGGAUAAAGAAAAUGUGGUAUUCAUACACCAUGGAGUACUAUUCUGCCAUAAACAAGGAUAAAUGUGAAUCAUUCAUAGGUAAAUGGAUGUGUCUUGAGCUAAAUCAAUUUAAAUCAGAAAUAUAAGCUUAAAUAUUCUAUAGUUUCUCUGAGAAACCCAAAUUAUAAAUUAACAGCAAAAUAAAGGGUAAGAAAAAGUAGGGGGAUCUUCAGAUGUGAAGGGCAACAAAAGAUGGAGGGGAUGGAAAAGAGAUGGAAAAAAAGAAAAUGGAAAUAGAGCUUUUGAAAAUGGAAAUGGGGCCAAGACUUGGAAGGAGCACUGAGAGAUGGGAGGAGUUGAGGAUAAAAAAAGAAUCAAGGUGUGUUAUGUACCUGUACCAACUCCUCACAAUAAAUUUAAAAUGUUUUAGCAAAGCAAACAAAUGAAAAGAUAAAGAAUGGAAUUGGUGAAAUGUGUACCAUAUAAAUGAUAAUGGGUUAAUAUCCAUGGGCUAACUUUUUGCUAGCUGUGUCACUGAAUAGCAAAAGAAUUCUUUUUAAAUCUAAAAACAGACAAAAGAUCAGAACAGGUAUUUCUCCAAAAGACAGGCUAAUGGCUAAAAGGUGUUGUACUCUAAGAAAAUAGCUUCGUUAUAUGUGUAUUAUAGCAAACCUGCAAUGUGGUUUACUAAAUGUGUUUUUUAUCCUUUUUCCCUGAUAUGUUGUGACCUAAUUGAUAUGUUGAGCAAUACUCUCCUCUGUAAAGAAUUGCAAGAAUCUCACCUAAUUGAUAUGUUAACCAGAGCGGCCCUCUACAAACAAGAAGAGUGGUGCUAAAACAAGCUAACAAGGAUUGUUAAUCACGGUUAGGCGCCUCUAUUCUCCGCUAAAGAGCUAAAGAAAACUAGGAUGGCCCACUAAUUUACACUUGUUUGAAAUGUGCCACUCCGAGAUAAUGUCAGUCUGCAGGAUGGGAGUAAUUUGAGAAACACCAGGAACUCCUGAGAUUGUCAGAGCUAAGUGGACAGCAAUACAGUUUCCAGAUGCAGGUCAACAGGUUUAAUGGCCUUGCAGGUUUACCCCCACUUUCCCUUACUUUUAAAAACCCCUUUCCCCAGUCUUGGGCGUGCAGUCUUUGGGUCGAUCCAGGAGAGACUGUGCUGCCAGGACUGGCUUAAUAAAGCCUUUGCUACUUAAA